rnacentral:rRNA from 1 species
AGAGUUUGAUCCUGGCUCAGAACGAACGCUGGCGGCGUGCUUAACACAUGCAAGUCGAACGGGAUUCGGAGCUUGCUCCGAUGAGAGUGGCGCACGGGUGAGUAACGCGUGGAUAACCUGCCCUGGUAUCCGGAAUAACAUCUCGAAAGGGGUGCUAAUACCGGAUAAGCCUACGGGGUCUUCGGACUCUGCAGGAAAAGGUGGCCUCUAUUUAUAAGCUACCGUAUCAGGAUGGGUCCGCGUACCAUUAGCUAGUUGGUGGGGUAAUGGCCUACCAAGGCGACGAUGGUUAGCUGGUCUGAGAGGAUGAUCAGCCACACUGGAACUGAGACACGGUCCAGACUCCUACGGGAGGCAGCAGUGGGGAAUUUUGCGCAAUGGGGGAAACCCU